CACGUAGGCACCAAGCGUUGUCCGGAUUUAUUGGGCGUAAAGAGCUCGUAGGCGGUUUCGUAAGUCGGAUGUGAAAACUCCAGCUCAACUUGGAGACGCCAUUCGAUACUGCGAUGACUUGAGUCCGGUAGGGGAGGUGUGGAAUUCCGUGGUCGUAGCGGUGAAAUGCGACGAUAUCAGGAGGAACACCGGCGGCGAAGGCGGCACUCUGGGCCGGUACUGACGCUGAGGAGCGAAAGCGUGGGUAGCAAACAGG
rnacentral:rRNA from 1 species